rnacentral:rRNA from 1 species
ACGUAGGAGGCGAGCGUUAUCCGGAUUUACUGGGCGUAAAGCGCGUGCAGGCGGGGCGAUAAGUCGUGCGUGAAAGCUCCCAGGCUUAACCGGGCGAGGACAAUGAAGACUGGUCAGCUAGAGGACGGUAGAGGGGUGUGGAAUUCCAGGUGUAGUGGUGAAAUACGUAGAUAUCUGGAAGAACACCAGUUGCGAAGGCGGUCUCUUGGUCCGAUACUGACGCUGAGGCGCGAAAGCGUGGGGAGCAAACAG